GGCGGAUGUAGCCAAGUGGAUUAAGGUAGUGGAUUGUGGAUCCACCAUGCGCGGGUUCAAUUCCCGUCGUUCGCC
rnacentral:tRNA from 6 species